rnacentral:lncRNA from 1 species
UUAAUAGAUAUUACAAUAAAAUUAAAAUAUAUUAUUAUACACAUUUUAAUUCAUUACUUUUAUUUUACUUCCUCUAAUUAGUAUACUUAAAUGUCCGUAUCAUAAUAUAUUUUACUAAAUUAAUGUACCGAAUUAUCUGUAACAUACCACAUCGCCUAGGGGAGUGGAUAUUGUAAGCCUUAUAUGUAUAUUCUCAUCUCUACCUAGCACGAGGCCUUUUGGGAACUCACUGGCUUCGGGUUACUCCGAAGUUAAGCGAAUUCACACAAGAGCAAUCCCAGGAUGGGUGACCCACUAGGAAGUUCUUGUGUGAGUUCCCAGAAACAAAACCGUGAAGGCGUGGUAGGGGCCCAAAGCGGACAAUAUCGUGCUACGGUGGAGUUAAGCCCGAGAUGUGGUGGGGGCCCGGGUCAGGAUGUGACAAUUUGGUAUCAGAGCCAAUCCUUGACCGGAAGUGUGCCGACGAGGACGUCGGGCCCUAAGGGGGUGGAUUGUAACAUCCCACAUCGUCCAGGUGAGUGGAUCUUAUAAGCCGUAUAUGUAUAUUCUCAUCUCUACCUAGCACGAUGCCUUUUGGGAGCUUAUUGGCUUCGAGUUCCGUCGGAACUCCGAAGUUAAGCGAGUUCGCGCGAGAGCAAUCCCAGGAGUGGUGACCUACUGGGAAGUUCUCGUGUGAGUUCCCAGAAACAAAACCGUGAGGGCGUGGUCGGGGCUAAAAAUGGACAAUAUCCUGUUACGGUGGAGUUAAGCCCGUGAUGUGGUGGGGGCCCGGGUUGGGAUGUGACAUUAUCUGUACCUAAAUAUAUUGUAGUAAAUUAGUGGCACAUAAGAAAAUAUGCAAAAACAUAAGUGUACCAAAAAAUUCAGUACCUAAAUAUAUGAUAUUA